UGAAAGCCCUAGUUGUUGGAGGGAAGAAAUUUCUGUGAGAUCUCAUAGAUUUGAUUUCAGGGUGAAUCUCAUGAUGUUUUAUGUACUGCUAGCUGCAUAGGUCUUGUGGCACAAGCAUCUGGACACACAGUAGCUCGGCUGGGAAGCUGUAGGUGCGAUCCACCUGUGGUUGCUACAUAUGAAAAUUCCAGCCAAAUUAUGUUAAAAAAAAAAAAAAAAAAGAAAGAAAACCACGAACUCUUUAAGUUUCUUACAUAUGUGCUUUGGAAAGCCGUGAGAAGUGGAUGUUCUCUCUGAGCUCCACCAGCAACUGAAAACAAGGGGAAUCUAUUUCACCAUCAGCAUGAAUAAAUUAUAACCAAAUACACAUGGGGCACGUAUCUGUCACAUAAGAGAAGCCACUUUUUUUCCUUGUCACUUUUCAAAUAAAAUUGCCAUCUAAUCUAAAAUACAGCAUUCUGGCGGAAAGUCUGUAAAUUCUCUUUGUACAAGGAGAUGUAGCAAAGUUUGUAGCCCAACUUGUUAUAAAAACACAGAAGUUAAAAAUAACUGUAGAGUUAGGGAGCGGAAUCCAGCUCUAAAUGGGUGGCCCAGUUUGCUCUCACAUUCAAGUAUUAUAAACAGAAAGCAACCCUUUUGUUUUCAGGCUGCUGCUGAUAGCUUUUUGUCUUGCCAUGGGGAAAUGUUGGCACUCCCCUAUCAUCUGACAACUCUCAACUAUUUUUGUUUGCAAGAGGUGUGUGUCAAUGAAAUACCAGUAUCAUUUUGACUGCAAGCAGCACAUCACUGUGAAGGUGUUUUUUCUGUGGAAGAGAGAGUAGCAUUUUUUGUUGCAGAAGAUUGGAAAGAUUUCUGCAGGAACUUUGCAAGGAGCUCACUACACUUUUAUUCAGGGCCUUCCACAGGACUUGUUGAGGCUCUGGCCAGUGGACAGAAUUGCUGCUGGGAGAUAGAUUAACUCCUGAUCCCACUUUGACAGGCAUGAGGGCUGCAUGAAUUACAUUGCCUAGUGUUUAGGGUGGAGCAGUUCUGGAAGAUUCAUCCCAGCUGUGUCUCACACCAGGUGGCAAAACAAACUCUAAAGGGCUGAGGGGCUGUAGAUUCCUUUUUUUUCCUGCUGUGCUGUGCAUGGGGGCUGCAGUUUGUAAUUGCUGCUCUCCUUGUUGUGCUGUGGAGAAGGUUGAGGCUCUGAAGGAGGAGGGUAAGAGUAGGACUUUUACAGAAUCCUUUAACUCCAGAAAAGGUAGUAAGAAUCUUGAACCACAGGACUUGAGAGCUGGAGCACUCAUAAGAGACGAAGCUGCUACAACUUGCCUCCCCAGCUCCCAGAGCCAAGCAGCCUUUGCUGCCAAAAGCAUUCUUCCACCGCAACAUGCACAGCAGGUGACAUAGGACUGGAAGAACUAAGGAUUAUGAAGAGGCCUGUGAUAUAGACCUUUCUGCAUGAAUCGAUAAGUUCUGGAGCUGAUGCUGUUACUGAAUUGAGCUGCCAAAGAUUCAGACUCAAAACACUCCAUGGAAAUAAAAUCCAGUGAAACAUCAACCUGUUGGAGGAAGAUAUAGAUUGUGUAAGAUUUAGGGGUUAUUAGAGCCACUGAAAACUGUACACAAUUACUCUAACAAGUAAAAAAUGGUAAAAGGGUGACAGAAUGGAAAAUGAUUUUCUGUUUGCUCUCUGGAAUGAUACUAAUAAGUCUCUUUUGUUUUCAUGAUAUUUUGUUAGAAAUUCUGUUCAAAUGGCACAGCUGGCAACAGCUGUCUGUAGUACGAACUGUCUAUUUUAGUGCGUUUAAUUGUGUGGUGGCUUAAGUUAAAAACAUUACACAUUCAAAGUAUAUUUUUUUGCAUGCAGGCUUUAAAGAGCAGUUAGUAUCUCAGCAGAAUGUCUUUCAUUUAUGUUAUGUUAUUGUUGUCCUCUGUGCUGGACAGACUGUAUUGUACUAGAUGUGCCCUGAAUAAGAGCAAAAACAUAGUUUAUGCUCCAAACGCAUUUAUAGUAUAAGAGCAAAAAACAAUAGGCUGUGAAAAAGGAAUAGUUGGUAGAGCAAUGAACAAGCAAUAAAACUAACAGACAGAGGUCUUAGUAUGGUAGCUGUCAAACCAUUACUGCUUUGCUUACAGUGCUGUGAUAAUAAUCUCAAAGCAGUUGUAUCAGCUCCUUCCACAAAGACAUACAGUGUUAGAUCAAAAACUAUGUCAGAGUGCUACAGUUUUCUCUAGGAG